rnacentral:rRNA from 1 species
AGUGAACGCUGGCGGUAGGCCUAACACAUGCAAGUCGAACGGCAGCACAGUAAGAGCUUGCUCUUACGGGUGGCGAGUGGCGGACGGGUGAGGAAUACAUCGGAAUCUACUUUUUCGUGGGGGAUAACGUAGGGAAACUUACGCUAAUACCGCAUACGACCUACGGGUGAAAGCAGGGGAUCUUCGGACCCUGCGCGAUUGAAUGAGCCGAUGUCGGAUUAGCUAGUUGGCGGGGGUAAAGGCCCACCAAGGCGACGAUCCGUAGCUGGUCUGAGAGGAUGAUCAGCCACACUGGAACUGAGACACGGUCCAGACUCCUACGGGAGGCAGCAGUGGGGAAUAUUGGACAAUGGGCGCAAGCCUGAUCCAGCCAUACCGCGUGGGUGAAGAAGGCCUUCGGGUUGUAAAGCCCUUUUGUUGGGAAAGAAAAGCAGCAGGUUAAUACCCCGCUGUUCUGACGGUACCCAAAGAAUAAGCACCGGCUAACUUCGUG